rnacentral:rRNA from 1 species
GGUUGAUCCUGCCGGAGGCCACUGCUAUCGGGCUCCGACUAAGCCAUGCGAGUUUAGGGGCUCCUUCGGGAGCACCGGCGGACUGCUCAGUAACACGUGGACAACCUGCCCUCGGGUGGGGGAUAACCUCGGGAAACUGAGGCUAAUACCCCAUAGGCCUCGGAUACUGGAAGGUUCCGAGACCGAAAGCUCCGGCGCCCGAGGAUGGGUCUGCGGCCUAUCAGGUAGUUGGUGGUGUAAAGGACCACCAAGCCUGCGACGGGUACGGGCCCUGAGAGGGGGGGCCCGGAGAUGGACUCUGAGACACGAGUCCAGGCCCUACGGGGCGCAGCAGGCGCGAAACCUUCGCAAUGCGCGAAAGCGCGACGAGGGGAGCCCGAGUGCCCUUCCUUUCGGGAGGGCUUUUCUGGAGCCUAAAAAGCUCCAGGAAUAAGGGCUGGGCAAGACGGGUGCCAGCCGCCGCGGUAAUACCCGCAGCUCGAGUGGUGGCCACUAUUAUUGAGCCUAAAGCGUCCGUACCCGGACCCGUAAAUCCC